rnacentral:rRNA from 1 species
UACGUAGGGUGCGAGCGUUGUCCGGAAUUAUUGGGCGUAAAGAGCUCGUAGGCGGUGUGUCGCGUCGGCCGUGAAAACCUGCAGCUCAACUGUGGGCUUGCGGUCGAUACGGGCAUCACUGGAGUUCGGCAGGGGAGACUGGAAUUCCUGGUGUAGCGGUGAAAUGCGCAGAUAUCAGGAGGAACACCGGUGGCGAAGGCGGGUCUCUGGGCCGAUACUGACGCUGAGGAGCGAAAGCGUGGGGAGCAAACAGG